GGAGGUGAUGGCUGGAAAAUGAGGAUGCAAUAAUCUUCAGGCUCAUACCCUGAAGGUCGUAGGUUCAAAUCCUACUCUCGA
rnacentral:tRNA from 1 species